rnacentral:tRNA from 1 species
GCCUCGGUAGCUCAGUGGUAGAGCAGGGGACUCAUAAGCCCUUGGUCGCAAGUUCGAGUCUUGCCCGAGGCA